GGGGACGCGUGGUUUCGACAGGGGAGGUAUGCUACAGGAUUGCAGGCUGAGGUUGCCAUCACCCUCAUUAAACCGGUGGCAAAACAUAACUGGCGAAGAACCAGUACUAGUCGCUGCCUAACUAAGAAAGGUAGCACAUCCAACCCGAUCUCUCCUCGGUGGGUUGGGAUUGGGUGAAAUAAUGCCGAGGUGCCACUACCCGGACGUCGAUAAGGGUGGUGAAAGAAAAAUCUGACUGGCCCGGCGUAACUCCGUCAGCAGAGGUUCACCGGGUAAGAACAAAGAGUUGACUAAGCCUGUAGGAUAUCCUGGGUAGUCUCUUCUGGACGGGGAGUUCGACUCUCCCCCGUCUCCACCA
rnacentral:tmRNA from 1 species